AGGCCGAAUAGUUCAAUGGGCAGAACGGCUGAUCUGUAAUCAGCAGGUUGCCGGAUCGUUUCCGGCUCAGGCCUU
rnacentral:tRNA from 1 species